rnacentral:misc_RNA from 1 species
GAUGAAGAACGUAGCUAAAUGCGAUAAGUAGUGUGAAUUGCAGAAUUCAGUGAAUCAUCGAAUCUUUGAACGCACAUUGCGCCCCUUGGUAUUCCAUGGGGCAUGCCUGUUCGAGCGUCAUUUGUACCCUCAAGCUAAGCUUGGUGUUGGGUGUUUGUCCACUCCCUCGUGUUUGGACUCGCCUUAAAACAAUUGGCAGCCAGUGUUUUGGUAUUGAAGCGCAGCACAAUUUGCGAUUCUAGCCUAGAAUACUAGCAUCCAUCAAGUCAUUUUUAACGCUUGACCUCGGAUCAGGUAGGGAUACCCGCUGAACUUAAGCAUAUCAAUAAGCGGAGGA